rnacentral:rRNA from 1 species
UUAUAAGAUACGUUUGUCGCAUGGCAUUUGUAUUAAACGCUCCGGCGCCAUAGGAUGGACCCGCGUCCCAUUAGCUAGUUGGUGAGAUAACAGCUCACCAAGGCCACGAUGGGUAACCGGUCUGAGAGGGCGAACGGUCACACUGGAACUGAGACACGGUCCAGACUCCUACGGGAGGCAGCAGUGGGGAAUAUUGCGCAAUGGGGGCAACCCUGACGCAGCAAUACCGCGUGAGUGAAGAAGGUUUUCGGAUCGUAAAGCUCUGUUAUUGGGGAAGAAAAAAAGACGGUACCCAAGAAGAAAGUUCCGGCUAACUACGUGCCAGCAGCCGCGGUAAUACGUAGGGAACAAGCGUUGUCCGGAUUUACUGGGCGUAAAGGGCGCGCAGGCGGUUUUUUAAGUCAGAUGUGAAAGGCCACAGCUCAACUGUGGACAUGCAUUUGAAACUGAAAGACUUGAGUAUUGGAGAGGCAAGUGGAAUUCCUAGUGUAGCGGUGAAAUGCGUAGAUAUUAGGAGGAACACCGGUGGCGAAGGCGGCUUGCCGGACAAAUACUGACG